rnacentral:rRNA from 1 species
UCGUGCCGUGAGGUGUUGGGUUAAGUCCCGUAACGAGCGAAACCCCUGUGAUCAGUUGCCAGCGCGUCAUGGCGGGGACUCUGAUCAGACCGCCGGCGUUAAGCCGGAGGAAGGCGGGGACGACGUCAAGUCAUCAUGGCCCUUAUGCCCAGGGCUGCACACGUGCUACAAUGGGGUGGACAGAGCGUCGCCAGGCCGCAAGGCCGCGCCAAUCGCAAAAACCAUCCCCCAGUUCGGAUUGCGGGCUGCAACCCGCCCGCAUGAAGCCGGAAUCGCUAGUAAUCGCCGAUCAGCACUGCGGCGGUGAAUGUGUUCCUGAGCC